AGGAUUAACGCUGGCGGCGUGCCUAACACAUGCAAGUCGAACGAGGUAGCAAUACCUAGUGGCAGACGGGUGAGUAACGCGUGGUCAACCUACCGUUGAGUGGGGGAUAACUAGCCGAAAGGUUAGCUAAUACCGCAUACGUCUCCGAGGGGCAUCCCUUGGCGAUAAAAGGAGCAAUCCGCUCGAUGACGGGACCGCGUCCCAUUAGCUAGAUGGUGGGGUAACGGCCUACCAUGGCACCGAUGGGUAGCUGGUUUGAGAGAGCGACCAGCCACACUGGGACUGAGAAACGGCCCAGACUCCUACGGGAGGCAGCAGUGAGGAAUUUUCCGCAAUGGGCGCAAGCCUGACGGAGCGACGCCGCGUGUGGGAAGAAGGCCUUCGGGUCGUAAACCACUGUCGAAGGGGACGAUAAUGACGGUACCCUUGGAGGAAGCCCCGGCUAACUACGCGCCAGCAGCCGC
rnacentral:rRNA from 1 species